AAAUUUUCUAAAAAUGUGAAAUUCAUAAUUCCAUUGUUAUUUUUUCAUCAGGAUUACCAAUAACAGUUGGAAAGUCAGGAUUCUCACCUUUUUUUGUUACCAUUUCCUGGAAUUUUAUAGUACAGACUAUCGCUAUAUUGUUCUUCGUUGAUCUGAUGCAGCAUGCUCAAAUGUACCUUCUCAAUACUCAAGAGAAACAUCUAGAGACUGUUCCUCUUAACGAGUUGCAUAGUGAAGACCACUCAAUGGAUAAUAGCAAUUCUG